CAUGCCAUUUUGAUGCAGAAGCAAUGCAUCUUCACCAUCUAUCUUCCAUUUCACCAUCACCACAGAACAAAUGGGGCAAACAUACUAAGAAGCUAAAUGACCAUCCCAAUGUGUAAAGGAGGAGCUUCCUGAGAUGUGACAAAGAGAAGCAGAAUCUACUUACAGCCUACAAUUAGGUUUUGCCAAAAGGACCCUCCAGAAAAGAGGCCCUACCUUGAAAACUUGAGUCUUUCUGAGGACAGCUACAAAAAGAGAGAAAUCAUGGAUGCAAAUCCUCUCAGCUUUGAUGAAGCUCCAUGUGGAAAGCGUGGAGUGCCGAGUGAGUGUGCUGGAAAUUCAUUCAUCCCCUGGAGACAGGUGGGGUUAAUUCUGACUACAACAAACCUGGUGGAGAGAUGGAGAAAGAAGAUAAACACAUAGAAGAAACAGAAGUUGAUAGAUUUCUGCACAGUUAAACCUGACAGGAAAGAAGCUACUGGAGAAAUCAAAGAGGAUGACUCGUGGUACCCAAAUGGAAGAUGAACGUUAAACUCCAUCUAAUCAAGACUCUGCAGAAUAUGUAUUUUGGGGAAGAAAAGAAAGAGAAACUUUUUCUUACCAGGACUCACACAUCUGAGCAGCUCCUAGGUCUGAAACAUUCCUGUGGUGUGGUUUGUGUGGGUCCUGUUGGGUAAUAGGAUCCUCCAGCCAAUAAAGGCAAUGUGCUGCUGGUCCUGGCCCACAACCUUAUCUCUUUGGGUCCAUGGCCUUGCUCUUCCAAGGAAUGAUGCAUCCCUGUGGAUUUCUGGCCAUGUUUGCCCAGUGUCACCAUCAAUGAUACUCCUCAGUCUUCAACUUUCUGGUCUAAGUUGUACAUGCAUUGAGGCUCCUGCAUGUGUGAGUAUUUUAAUUGAGUGUUUAGUGUUGGCUUGGAAGGUCAGGAAAGUUAGUCCCACAGGAUUUGUAUUGAAAGCCUUCAAUUCCUGCAAUUUUCUACAUCUGUCUCAUACUUCUCUGUCUUUCAUUUAUUACACUUCAUUAAUUGUUUUUCUUUUCAUUGGAGGCGUAGGUGAGAAAAAAGCAAGUGAACCACUUCCCACGGAAGCAAAAAGUGUCUCAAAGUUGCCCAAUGAAAUGGAUCACUCCCUGAUUUAGGAAGAGGCUGUGAACACAUCCUGGCAAGUGCUGAGAGUGCUGCAGGGGCCCAGUCUCUCCCAAUUAUUUUGCCUCCCAAGAUCUUGUCUCCUGGCUGGAUCAUGCAAGAAGGAAAAUGCUGAAAAGAGGAGGUGGGUGAGAGGGAUGUAUUUCUUACUUUGUUUCGGAGGCAACUCUAUAAAUCUCCACAUAUUAAGGUCUUCCAUAUGUGGAUUUUCAAUAUCAGCUUGUCACUUCAGGCUGCCUGACAUGAACUGUUGGAUGGGGCUGCUAUCUUCUCCAGGGCUCACUCACAGAUGCCAAAAAAGGUUGAAAAAACCAGUGAAAAAUGCAA